AGUUUGAUCAUGGCUCAGGAUGAACGCUAGCGGCAGGCCUAACACAUGCAAGUCGAGGGGUAGAGUUCUUCGGGACUUGAGACCGGCGCACGGGUGCGUAACGCGUAUGCAAUCUACCUUAUACAGGGGAAUAGCCCAGAGAAAUUUGGAUUAAUGCCCCAUAGUGUUAUCGAAUCGCAUGGUUUGAUAACUAAAGUUCCAACGGUAUAAGAUGAGCAUGCGUCCCAUUAGUUAGUUGGUAAGGUAACGGCUUACCAAGACAAUGAUGGGUAGGGGUCCUGAGAGGGAGAUCCCCCACACUGGUACUGAGACACGGACCAGACUCCUACGGGAGGCAGCAGUGAGGAAUAUUGGACAAUGGGCGCAAGCCUGAUCCAGCCAUGCCGCGUGCAGGAAUAAGGUCCUAUGGAUUGUAAACUGCUUUUAUACAGGAAGAAACACACCCUCGUGAGGGUACUUGACGGUACUGUAUGAAUAAGGACCGGCUAACUCCGUG
rnacentral:rRNA from 1 species